rnacentral:tRNA from 1 species
UCGGGAAAUAGCUCAGCUUGGUAGAGCACUUGGUUUGGGACCAAGGGGUCGCAGGUUCGAAUCCUGUUUUCCCGAU